rnacentral:tRNA from 1 species
GGAUUCGUGAUGGUCCACCGGUCCAAGCCGGUCCACAAUAGUGCAUUUUCUCAGCAAUCGCACUGCAGAGGUCAGGGGUUCGAUUCCCCUCAGCUCCACCA